rnacentral:misc_RNA from 1 species
AUAAUGCUCGCCUUCCUAGCAACAUGAGGCUCUAUUCCACCCCAGCAACUGCGCCACUAAUACUACCACCAGCAUCCGCGCCGCCGACCACCUUGAUUCUUGGGGAAGAACAUACACCUUUUGACGGAUAUAUCUUGCUCAAUUUCGAAUGGAAUUCUUGUAUAUUAAUAGAGAUUAAGAUGUCAAACAUACCUACAUCUCUCUCUGAAGUAUGCCUUACUCUCUUCCGUUUAACCAUGUUUAUCGCUGACCCAUGGCCUUUUUCUUUAACCUUUCUAACAAAAGCCCUUUGAGAUCUUGCUUGCCAGGCUUAGGAAAAAAAUCCACUCAUAUACAAAAAAAAAACUCUUUUCUUAUUAUAAUCUCUCUCCCUCCCCAGGCAAGUCAUGAGAAAGAUAAGAGGCUUCAAGAUUGGAAAACGGGUGGUCAGGAUCUCCAAAUGGAUCUUCCGACGGACCCGUAGCCCAUCCAGUUACAAUCGGCUAUGCUCACCGGUACAAACAUGCAGGCCCAAGCCCCUAGCGAAGCUUAUCAACUGGGGUCGCCGCUUGACAGCAGGAGCAAAAUCACUAUGUUCCGCGAAACCCGGGUUGGGUUACAUCCCUGUGGGCGAGGAUCCUAUUCAGGAAAAAUCGGUGAAAGUGCCAAAGGGACAUUUGGCGAUCUAUGUGGGGCAAAAGGAUGGCGAUUUCCACAGAAUUUUGGUGCCCGUGAUUUACAUUAACCAUCCACUGUUUGGCGAGCUAUUGAGAGAAGCAGAAUAUGAGUAUGGGUUCAAUCAACAAGGUGGGAUCACGAUUCCCUGCCGAUAUUCGGAGUUUGAGAGCGUCCAAACCCGGAUCGCAUCAGUGUCGGGUGGGCGUAAGCUGGCGUGGAAACGCAGCCAUGAUUGAGAUGGUUUAUCAGAUGAUGACGAUAAUAUGCGUAGGUGAUGGUGAUGUUUAUAAUUUUUAACAAUGUAAUAUAUACAUAUAACUUCUCAAAGGCUUCUCCUUUUGUUUUCUUUUUUUUUUCUCUGGUCUUUUUCUUCAAA